AAUGAAGAUCUGACCAUUGUGUUCGAUCUAAAGGUGCUCGUGUUUUGUGUGUGUGUGUGUGUGCAGGUGCGCUCAGCUUCGCACACGCACACAAAGGCUCACGUCUGGUUGUUGAUUGCCUCGCUUUUUCAACUCUUCUGCGAGCGUGUUUAUCUUUUUUUUUCUGUGUUUGAUGGGGAUUUGACACCAAAGCGGAGUUGUGAACACGAAAAGAAGCAAGUAACCUGAUACAAAAAGGAGCCGCGGCAGGAAAAGUGAUACACCGCAUACUCCUUUCAUCAACGCGUCCCCGCUACUACUUCGCACGCGACUGAGAAAAGAGGAUAGGGGACAGCAUCGUCUGCACUUUGUAGAGGCAGCAGCGUGCUUGUAAAUGCUGCGCUUUUCCGCGUGUGCUGCCUUGCGAAGGGUAUCGCGCGUUUCUACCUCAGCAGCUUUUCCCGCCCACCGCCAGCUUGCUCACACCCAAGUGCACUAUGGAGCAGCUGCCAUGCAGCCGCCGGCGUGGAUCGAGCAGCUCCGGCAGGACGCCAAAACUACCGAAAAGUCCAUCUCAUAUGACAUCAAGGUGUACGAUGAGCUCUCCUGGCGUCGAAAGCGUUUCACUUUUGACAAGGAGCUGUGGGAUCCGAUGCGGAUGAGCAGCAUCCUGCGAAAUCGACUUUGCCUGGGCAACGAAGACACCGAGUACACUGUCAUUGGGGAGGCGUUCGCUUUUCCAGACCGCGAGGACUCUCCGAUUGUGAACGAGCCGCAGCGCGCCUGCACGCUUCUCUGGGACCACAACAGCCCCACGGAGAAGGUAAUGAUCCAGCUCUCUGAACACUUUCCUCCGCUGCUGUGGCACACGGUAAAGCCGACGUUGGGGGCAUUGAAGAAGGUCUUCUCCGAGUUCCUUGACGUGGACGCGGAGCAUAUGAAGAAGUAUCUUCCGUACUAUGAGGAGGUGCAGAACCGUAUUGAAACUCAGAUGGACGAGAAGCUGAUCGGCACCUUGAGUCCAUCGCACAUGAAGAACAAGUUUAUCGAGGACAUGCGCAAGCGCGAUCCUCGGUCGGUGGAGCUGGACUACCCGAACGAGCAUAGCAUCUUCCUCGGCCUCACGCCGCACUUUCGCGUCACGGAAGAUCAACUCAUGAAGAAGAACCCGUUUGUGUUUGGGUGGCCUAUGCUGCUCAGCGAUGGCAACGAGUACCUGGAGGACACCCCCUUGCGCAUGGCCGCGUUCCGUACAGUUUACUCAAAGUCACUGCUGAUGUUUCACACCCGUCUCGACCUUCAGGUGGAUCACCGGCAAUCGCAUUUGCCCGGCGACGACGUGGAUGACAUUCUUCUGGAGAUGCCCAUUUUCUGCAGUAUCAACUACCCCACAAACACCCGACUGUGUGGUGGACGUCCGCUAGUGCAACGGUUCAAUCAGGUGAUGGGGACCUCAUACCCACUCGGCAUGCCGGUGGAUGUGCUCGCCACCUUCGCCCGCGAAAACACCGUCAAGGGGGAGCGAGAGCUGCUGGAGGAGUUGAAGUUCCUGACGGCGGCGUCGCAGAAAGCACCAGAGCUGGAGCGUGUGUUUCGCGUCUCUGAGGACCAGCUGAGCUCGAACAAGAUCAUUGGUCAGUUGGCCUACACGAUUGUGUACCUUGCUCUGGUGAACUACCCUAAGUUCGCCGAAGACAUCUUCAAGGUGUACUGGAAGCACCCAAGCGACCUUGUCCGCGUCGCAUGUGCGAAAGGGGCUCACAUUGCGGAGCGGCAAGAUCUGGUAGAGCAGCUCAUUCAAGCAGAGCCGGAGGGGCGGUGCAAGACUAUGCUCACGGCGACGAUGCAUCUCACCACAGACACGCACCCGGCCAAGGCAGCGCAUUCUGAGAGGAAGAGAAUCGAGAGGAAUUUACAAUGAGUGGUCACCUGAAUGUAACGCCACUGUUUUUGAGUGAUGCUAAUGAUGGCGCCUGUUCCUCGCUUCUUUUCUCUGCACGUCUUACAGGGGGCUACUUAAUAAACUGCUCGCAAGGACAAGGCAUUCACAGGGGGUGUCCAUCAGCAUUCAAGCGAUACCGCAUUCGCAUUGGAUGUUUUGCACCCAUCAUCAAGACCCCCCUCCCCCAAAACAAACGCGAAAGGCGUAGUAUGCCUGGUCGCCCUUCAGCCAACCUCAGCGAGCGGCAAGCUUGUCAAGAGAGACUCCACGGCCUGAAAGAUGGGUCUUGGCAG
rnacentral:misc_RNA from 1 species